rnacentral:rRNA from 1 species
UACGUAGGGUGCGAGCGUUAAUCGGAAUUACUGGGCGUAAAGCGUGCGCAGGCGGUUUUGUUAGUUUGACGUGAAAUCCCCGGGCUUAACCUGGGAAUUGCGUUGGAGACUGCAAGGCUGGAGUCUGGCAGAGGGGGGUAGAAUUCCACGUGUAGCAGUGAAAUGCGUAGAGAUGUGGAGGAACACCGAUGGCGAAGGCAGCCCCCUGGGUCAAGACUGACGCUCAUGCACGAAAGCGUGGGGAGCAAACAGG